rnacentral:rRNA from 1 species
AUUGAACGCUGGCGGCAUGCUUUACACAUGCAAGUCGAACGGUAACAGGAGCUUGCUCCGCUGACGAGUGGCGAACGGGUGAGUAAUGCGUCGGAACGUGCCGAGUAGUGGGGGAUAACGCAUCGAAAGGUGUGCUAAUACCGCAUACGUACUGAGGUAGAAAGUGGGGGACCUUCGGGCCUCACGCUAUUCGAGCGGCCGACGUCUGAUUAGCUAGUUGGUGAGGUAAAGGCUCACCAAGGGGACGAUCAGUAGCGGGUCUGAGAGGAUGAUCCGCCACACUGGGACUGAGACACGGCCCAGAUUCCUACGGGAGGCAGCAGUGGGGAAUUUUGGAAAGUGGGGGCAAGCCUGAUCCAGCCAUGCCGCGUGUCUGAAGAAGGCCUUCGGGUUGUAAAGGACUUUUGUCCGGGAGCAAAUGCUGGUGGCUAACAUCCACCGGAGCUGAGAGUACCGGAAGAAUAAGCACCGGCUAACUACGUGCCAGCAGCCGCCGUAAAAC